rnacentral:lncRNA from 1 species
CCGGAUUGGAAGCCCCAAGGAUUCUGAGAGCCCCGCUAAUCUGGGGAUGACUCCUAGGAGUAGAAGACGGUCCAUCUUAGUUGUCACGAGGAUCUCACUUCUUGGAAUCCGGCGGCGUUCACGUGUGUGCUCCAGAGAAGGGCGCCAGAGGGUAUUCCCUGAAAGUGAAAGGUCGGCGAAAGAGGAGUAAAGACGGCGAGACGCGUCCACGCAGGGGGAGUCUGUGCGGUUUGGAGGAACGCGCCAAUGUCUGCACUCAUGAGGAGCCCCCAAGGGCGGUUUUAAGAGGGUGAAGCAGGACCGGGCGCAGUGACUUACGCCUGUAAUCUAAGUGCUUUGGAAGGCCUAGGCAGGAGGAUCUCGAGCCCAGGAGUUCGAGAUUAGCCUGAGACCUCAUCGCUACCAAAAUAAAUAAAGUAGGCAUCCAUUUGUGUAAAACAAACCAUAUAUACACACAUAUAUACAUAUAUAAACAUUUGUAUAUAUAGGUAUAGGCAUAGUUAUCUAUACCUUGUAAACCAAAAAUAAAAUUGUAAGCCUCCCCAACCAACUGAA